rnacentral:rRNA from 1 species
UGGGGAAUAUUGCGCAAUGGGCGGAAGCCUGACCCAGCAACGCCGCGUGAAGGAUGAAAUCCCUCGGGAUGUAAACUUCGCAAGAAUGGGAAGAAUAAGUGCGGGCUAAUACCACGCAUGAUGACGGUACCAUUUGUAAGCUCCGGCUAACUCCGUGCCAGCAGCCGCGGUAAUACGGGGGGAGCAAGCGUUGUUCGGAUUUACUGGGCGUAAAGGGCGCGUAGGCGGUCGUGACAAGUCACUUGUGAAAUCUCCGGGCUUAACUCGGAAAGGUCAAGUGAUACUGUCGGACUAGAGUGCAGAAGGGGCAACUGGAAUUCUCGGUGUAGCGGUGAAAUGCGUAGAUAUCGAGAGGAACACCUGCGGCGAAGGCGGGUUGCUGGGCUGACACUGACGCUGAGGCGCGAAAGCCAGGGGAGCGAACGG